CGCGGUAUUUUGACCGUGCGAAGGUAGCAUAAUCAUUAGUCUUUUAAUUGAAGGCUUGGAUGAAGGGUUGGACGAGAAAUUAGCUGUCUUUAUUAUGAGAGUAAAAUUUAACUUUUAAGUGAGAGGGCUUAAAUAAACUAAAGGGACGAUAAGACCCUAUAAAGUUUGACACUAACUGUAGUAAGAGGAGCUAGGUGAGUUAAUAAAAGUUAAUUAGUGGGGGAAGUGUUUUGUUGGGGCGACAAAGAUAUAAGAAAUUUAACUGUCUUUAGGUUAAGUCAGAGAUGUUUGUAAGAAGGAGGAUCCUUAUUAAAGGUGUUAGAAUAAAUUACUUUAGGGAUAACAGCGUAAUUUUCUCUGAGAGUUCUUAUCGACGAGAGAGUUUGCGACCUCGAUGUUGAAUUAAAGAGUCUUUAUGGCGUAGCGGCUAUAAAAGAGGGUCUGUUCGA
rnacentral:rRNA from 1 species